UUGGAGGGCAAGUCUGGUGCCAGCAGCCGCGGUAAUUCCAGCUCCAAUAGCGUAUAUUAAAGUUGUUGCAGUUAAAAAGCUCGUAGUUGAAUUUUGGAUUCUUCCAAUUGGUCCAUCUUUUAGAUGAGUACUGGUUGUGUGGGGUCUAUCCGCCUGGUAAUACGUAAUGUCCUUUAUUGGAUGUUGCGGGUAGUCAGGACCUUUACCUUGAAAAAAUUAGAGUGUUUAAAGCAGGCUUAUGCCGGAAUACAUUAGCAUGGAAUAAUAGAAUAGGACGAAGUUGUUUUAUUUUGUUGGUUUCUAGGACAACCGUAAUGAUUAAUAGGGAUAGUUGGGGGCAUUAGUAUUCAAUUGUCAGAGGUGAAAUUCUUGGAUUUAUUGAAGACUAACUACUGCGAAAGCAUUUGCCAAGGAUGUUUUCAUUAAUCAAGAACGAAAGUUAGGGGAUCGAAGACGAUCAGAUACCGUCGUAGUCUUAACCAUAAACUAUGCCGACUAGGGAUCGGGCGAUGUUGUUUCCAUGACUCGCUCGGCACCUUACGGGAAACCAAAG
rnacentral:rRNA from 1 species